GAUGAACGCUGGCGGCGUGCUUAACACAUGCAAGUAGAACGGAAAGGCCCAAGCUUGCUUGGGUACUCGAGUGGCGAACGGGUGAGUAACACGUGGGUGAUCUGCCCUGCACUUCGGGAUAAGCCUGGGAAACUGGGUCUAAUACCGGAUAGGACCACUUCUUGGAUGUUGUGGUGGAAAGUUUUUUCGGUGUGGGAUGAGCUCGCGGCCUAUCAGCUUGUUGGUGGGGUAAUGGCCUACCAAGGCGUCGACGGGUAGCCGGCCUGAGAGGGUGUACGGCCACAGUGGGACUGAGAUACGGCCCAGACUCCUCCGGGAGGCAGCAGUGGGGAAUAUUGCACAAUGGGCGCAAGCCUGAUGCGGCGACGCCGCGUGGGGGAUGACGGCCUUCGGGUUGUAAACUCCUUUCGCUAGGGACGAAGCGUUUUGUGACGGUACCUGGAGAAGAAGCACCGGCUAACUACGUG
rnacentral:rRNA from 1 species